AGCGAACGCUGGCGGCAGGCUUAACACAUGCAAGUCGAGCGGGCACUUUCGGGUGUCCGCGGCGGACGGGUGAGUAACGCGUGGGAACGUGCCCUCUGGUUCGGAAUAACUCAGGGAAACUUGAGCUAAUACCGGAUACGCCCUUUUGGGGAAAGGCUUACUGCCGGAGGAUCGGCCCGCGUCUGAUUAGCUAGUUGGUGAGGUAACGGCUCACCAAGGCGACGAUCAGUAGCUGGUCUGAGAGGAUGAUCAGCCACACUGGGACUGAGACACGGCCCAGACUCCUACGGGAGGCAGCAGUGGGGAAUAUUGGACAAUGGGCGCAAGCCUGAUCCAGCCAUGCCGCGUGAGUGAUCAAGGCCUUAGGGUUGUAAAGCUCUUUUAUCCGGGACGAUAAUGACGGUACCGGAGGAAUAAGCCCCGGCUAACUUCGUG
rnacentral:rRNA from 1 species